rnacentral:rRNA from 1 species
AGAACGAACGCUGGCGGCAUGCCUAAUACAUGCAAGUCGAACGAGAUCUUCGGGUCUAGUGGCGCACGGGUGCGUAACGCGUGGGAAUCUACCCUUGGGUUCGGAAUAACAGUUGGAAACGACUGCUAAUACCGGAUGAUGACGAAAGUCCAAAGAUUUAUCGCCCAGGGAUGAGCCCGCGUAGGAUUAGCUAGUUGGUGAGGUAAAGGCUCACCAAGGCUACGAUCCUUAGCUGGUCUGAGAGGAUGAUCAGCCACACUGGGACUGAGACACGGCCCAGACUCCUACGGGAGGCAGCAGUAGGGAAUAUUGGACAAGU